AACUUUUUUCUUCUGGUUUCUAGUGUCAUGCGCGCUAAAAAAGCCUGGACAGGUUUCACUUUCAUUAUCGUUCUUCGACUGUGGAGAGUCUUUCGUCUUAUUUUCCUUUUGAUCGCCUUUAAAGAAGAAUUCUACGAACUGAUUGAAGACGGACCAAAACCAGCGGAAAAUGAGGAAACAGCAGCUGAAAUUGAAGCUGGCAAGAUCGAGGAAAAAUAGAAGUAAACUUCGAUUAAGUUACAAAGGAGCAUGGGUUAAACACUGGCGGAACAUACUUUCGGCGUUUCAUAAAAAAAGCAACAAGCCUUGCUUUGGCAGAUAUCAAUAGUGGAAUAUACAAAUGAUUCAUUACUUCAAAAUAUAUGGAAGAUCAAGUUACGGAAAUAAUCAGAUUCCAUAAAUGAAACAUUCAACAGCGAAAACGUAAACUGAAAGCGAAUGAGCUACAACAACAGGAGAUCAUAA